CGCGGUGGGGGGGUGCUGUGGUGCAAAAGGGGCUGCGUUGCAGUGCAUUGCAAAAGGCUGAGGUGCAUUCAUUCUAUUGCAUUCCAUUCUAUUGCAUUUAAUUGCAUUGCAUUGCAUUCAUCCCAUCCCAUUCAUUGCAUUGCAUCCAUGCUGUUGCGUUGCAUUGCAUUCAUUGCAUUGAUCCCACUGCAUUGCAUUGCAUUGAUUCCACUGCAUUGCAUUGCAUUGCAUUCAUUGCAUUGCAAUCAUUGCAUUGCAUUCCUUUCCAUCCCUUCCCA
ensembl:lncRNA